UCACCUUCUCGGCCUUUAUGGCUUUGAUCAAGUGUAGUAUCUGUUCUAGCAAGCUUAACAUCUUGCUUGCCCUUACGGGGGUAAAAGAAAAAUAAUUUUUAGAGGGAGGUUAAGGGAAUUGAAGGCAAGCCUUUUAUGAACUUAACGAGGAUGUGCAUGGAAACAUGAUGCGUCUACCCUAA
rnacentral:snRNA from 2 species